rnacentral:miRNA from 12 species
AUGAUGAUGAUGGUGGUGAAGA